UACGAAGGGGGCUAGCGUUGCUCGGAAUCACUGGGCGUAAAGGGCGCGUAGGCGGCCCUGUCAGUCGGGGGUGAAAUCCCACGGCCCAACCGUGGAAGUGCCUCCGAUACUGCAGGGCUCGAGGGGGGUAGGGGCAGCGGGAACUUCCGGUGGAGCGGUGAAAUGCGUUGAUAUCGGAAGGAACGCCGGCGGCGAAAGCGCGCUGCUGGACCCUCUCUGACGCUGAGGCGCGAAAGCCAGGGGAGCAAACGGG
rnacentral:rRNA from 1 species